UACGAAGGGGGCAAGCGUUGUUCGGAAUUACUGGGCGUAAAGGGCGCGUAGGCGGCCGAUCAAGUCAGGCGUGAAAUUCCCGGGCUCAACCUGGGGGCUGCGCUUGAUACUGAUUGGCUUGAAUGCGGGAGAGGAUAGUGGAAUUCCCAGUGUAGAGGUGAAAUUCGUAGAUAUUCGGAGGAACACCAGUGGCGAAGGCGGCUCACUGGCUCGAUUCUGACGCUGAGGUGCGAAAGCGUGGGGAGCAAACAGG
rnacentral:rRNA from 1 species